rnacentral:ncRNA from 2 species
AACGCACCUUGCGCUCCUUGGUAUUCCGAGGAGCAUGCCUGUUUGAGUGUCAUUAAAUUCUCAACCUUAUCAGUUUUUUAUUAAAUUGGUUCAAGGCUUGGAUUUUGGGAGUUGCAGGCUUCUCUUUUGAAGUCAGCUCUUCUUAAAUGUAUUAGUGGAGACUUGUAACCGUCGCCUUGGUGUGAUAAUUAUCUGCGCCUUGGUGUAUUGGUGACUAGUAAUGUCUUUGCUUAUAACAGUCCAUUAGAUUGGACAAUCACUUUAUGACUUUUGACCUCAAAUCAGGUAGGACUACCCGCUGAACUUAA